UAAAUACGUCAAGGAAGAAAAUUAAACUUUGAGAAAACUAAUCUACUCGGGCGCACGCAACAAAAAAAAUAAUUUAAUUUCGUGGAAUGGUUUCCAACUAUGUGCAUCGACAAAGUGUGCCUGAAGGAUCACAAAGACUGAACCUGCUAAACGUUUUCCGCAGAAACACAAAGAAUCUACCUUGCUCAAGUAUUUAAGUUCAGGAAAUGGUCCGUUGUUGCUGUGCAGGACAACCACACAAGAAUAUAAACGUUGCGCGGCACGGAGUUGAGCGGAAAAAUAUGAGCUAAGUUUUAAGUUACAAAAAGUCUGACGGAAAAAUCACAGCAUCAGUUGAAAGACUGAGUGCAAGAAAAUCCCGUUUCAAGUGGACAAUUCAACUCUCAUGGUUCAUUCAAUCAAAAUCACAAUUUCAAACAGAGAAAAAGAAAUGGUCGACCAAUUUUACUCGUCAUCCAAAUAAUUUGUCGCAUUUUGGUCAAGAUAAAAAACACACUUGAUUAACAGCUGUUUCGUUUCAUUCCAUUUUACACAUAGUUUUCUUUAUUUGCUUCUAAAUGGCUUUUAAUUGGAUUAAUUUCGCUGUGAAAAAGUGCUCAGCAAUUUGUCGGCCCUUUGGUUUUAUGACGAUAGUAAAUGUGGCGUGCACGAAAUCAGCAUU